CCAAAAAACUUUGGUGCUGUUUUUUUGAAGGCAAAGCGUUUUAUUUCCUCUGCCCGUGGUUAAGUAACUCUAGUCGGCUUCACACGACCUCAUCAACUGAGGCCACUUGCCGCUGGUCGAUAACCGAGGACGACCUGCGCACUGCGGCUGCUUUUCAACCGUUUCCCCGCGGAGGAAGGAACCAGCCUGGAGGUGUCUCUGAGCCGGAUGGAGGGUGCGUCGGGGCGCGUGUGAGCCAUGGCGUCCGCGUUGCCCCGGCUGCAGCUCGGCCGGCCGCGCGGCCUCCGCGCCCAACUGCUGCGGCGCUACGAACACCGGCCCCUGGUGUCGUGUCUGGCCGGUCUGUACGGCUGCCGGUGGAGACGCCACGAGGGGAGCUUCACUCAGCCCGGAGGCUGCUGCUGCAACAAGUUGGAAGGUGCCAGCUUUGUUCUGCUUGUGGCGGCUUUCUGCCUCACACUGGUGUUCCUCUACUUCUGGGGACAAGCCAUGAAUGACUACAAUGACUUCGACUGGCCACUUGGUUCAUUGUUGCCCCCUGUUGUUUUCGCUGUAGUCCUCCACUGUCAGUCACCACCAGUCUUCUGGGUGUGCAGGUUUAACUUUGGGAACCUGGGCUUCUGGUUUCCCUGGUCUCUGGUGCUGCUGGUCAUCGCUGCAGGCCUCUUCACCUACAUCACUGUGCUCAUGCUGCUGGCCGUGUGCCUGUUGUCAGAGGGCCAGAAGCUCCAUUUACACUGGAGUCACAAGAUUGGCAUCCUGGUGAGCCUGACUUUCUCCGUCGCAGCCACCGCCGUCUUGUCCGACCUGUGGAAUAAAGAGUGGACGACAUUACUCCUCUCCUUUCAGGUAACGGCACCUUAUUUACACGUGGGCGGAGUCCUGCUGACGACGGCGCUGGCUUGGCCCGUGGCUUUGCAUUUCUUUCGCAUGAGCGGCAAAGUAAGGUGUGGCCUGAUCAUGGGGGUGUACCUGACCAUCCUGCUUGCCCUCUACUUGGUGCCCCACGGUUUGUACUCUCCUUGUAUCAAGGAGGAGCAGACCCUGGGCCCCGCGCCGGCCCUCAUCGGCCACAGAGGAGCACCCAUGCUGGCUCCAGAAAACACACUGAUGUCAUUUGAGAAGGCGGUGGAGGCUGGAAGUAAAGGUCUGGAGACGGAUGUCACUAUUAGUUUUGAUGGCGUGCCCUUCCUGAUGCAUGACCACACCCUGCGACGGACCACCAACAUCCACCAGGUUUUCCCCAACCGGACUGACACCCCGGCCGCCAUGUUCACCUGGGCCGAACUGGAGAGCCUGAACGCCGGGGCCUGGUUCCUCUCUCACAAUCCGUUCGGCACAGCUGGCUCUCUGGGAGAAGGCGACCGACGGCGGGCGGGGAACCAGUCCGUCUGCAGCCUGCACGCCUUCCUCCAGCUGGCAGCUCAGACAGGCAAACUGGUGAUCUUUGACCUCUAUCGUCCGCCCAGGGGUCACCCUUACAGGGAUACCUGGAUCCAAGUCACUCUGGAGGUCAUCCAGAACGAGUCCUCCAUUCACCCCUCGCAGGUGCUGUGGCUGCCGUCCGAUCUGAGGGCUCUGGUGCAGGAAAUUGAUCCUGAGCUCCAGCAGACGUCGGGAAGUCAGCUCCCUCUAGAGGAGCUCCAGAGUAACCACGUCGUCAAACUGAACCUGCACUACAGCUCCAUGUCCGCUGAGCUCAUCAGUGAGUACGCCGCUGUGAACAUCACCACCAACCUGUACGUGAUCAGCCAGCCAUGGCUCUACUCUCUGGCCUGGUGCACUGGAGUCCACUCAGUCACCACCAACGCCCCCCAGCUACUCAGCACCAUGAGCUCCCCUCUCUUCCUCAUGAGUCCAGAUGAGUAUAACCUGAUGUGGAUUCUCACUGAUUUUCUUUCCCUCGUGCUGAUCGUCAUCAUCUGCAUUUUUCACUGGUGGCGAGAGCGAGGACUGGCUUUCUCCCCGAGCGGCAAAAUCACACUGGACAACGGCACUUACAGCAAGUUCAAGACACAGAUGAGUGAUAUAUGGUCAGUCUCCAGUGCUGCCUCGCAAGCAGAGAAACCAAACCUGGCAACCGUCACGGAGCAUUAACAUCUGCCUCUGAGAGGAGCCAACCUGGCAACACCGAGCCACCUACUGCCCAACCUGGACACGAGCGAUGUCACGUGAGACUGACGAACGAUGCGAAAAGCGAACGCAAAUGAGGGCGAAAUUCGUCUGGGGGCUGUGCAGUAUUUUGCACAAAAACUGACAACAAAACGAUACGGUGGUUGGUCAGUGAGUUCAGAGCCUGUGGAAGGGAAGAUGACCAUCGUACUUGCUGAGACCCCCUGAGCUCUACGGCCCUAAACUCCAGGAUUACACAGUGCAUGUUCACCUUGCAUCCUUUGCACCACUUCGACCGCUGGACCAUUCGUCAUUCUUCUUUAUCCGCCCCAAACAGCUAAUCGUACCAUCUGUGUCGUACGUUCAGCUCAGCCUCUGGCUGAA